rnacentral:lncRNA from 1 species
UGAAAGGCAUAUUAAAAAGUAUUUUUGUCUGUAUGAAAAUGAGAACACAAUAUACCAAAUUUGUGGGAUGCCACCAAAGUGGGGCUUAGAGAAAUUUUUUAUAACUAAAUUCUUAUAAUAGAAAAGAACAGUAUCAAAUCAAUGAUCUCAGCUUUUACUUAAAGAAACUAGAGAAGGAAGAGCAAAUUAGCUUCCAAGUAAGUGAGAGAAAGGAAAUAAAGAAAAUUGUGAAAUCAGUGAAAUAAUUUUGAAAAAGAGAGAAAAGGAAUAGAGAAAAUUAAUGGAACCCAAAGCUGAUUAUUUAAGAAGAUCUAGUCAGGCAGAUCAAGGGAAAAAAGUUACAAUGUAUGGAAUAUAAGAGGUGAUGUUAGUACUGAUUCUACAAAUAUUAAGAGGAUAAUAAGAAAAUACUUUGAACAAAUUUAUGCCAAUAAAUUUGCAUCUUAUGUUAAAUGGUGCAAUUCCUUGAACGAUACAAACUACCAAAGCUUACUGGAGAAGAAAGAGAUAGUCUGAUUAGCCCUGUAUUCCUUCAAGAAAAUGAAUGAGGAGUUAAAGCUCUUCCCAUGUCAUCUACAACUUAGUAUUUACCUUGAAUUUUCCUGUAUGGAAGGACCAGUGAAUAGCUGUGAAGGGCAUUUCAAUCAGAGAGAUCAAGGUGAGCAAAAGAAUGUGGAAGCAAUGUAUACUCGGAGAAAAUCCAGGGCCAAGGGAGAUUAGAGUGUAUCUGACAGGCUUAAAAAUCUCCUUGAUGUAAACGUUAACCUCUUUGAUUCUGUGCCGAUAAAUAGCAAUAAUUAACAUUGAGGUUUAAAACAUGACAGGAAGAAUGCCAAGAAUUUAAUGUUCAUAAUGUCAUGCAAUCCUUACAGACCCUAAUGACAUAGACUAUUAUUAUUCCCAUUAUAUACAUGACAAAACUUAAGUAAUUUAAGCAAAUACACAUAAUAAGUAACAGAACUAGUUUACAAACUCAUCUUGUCUGCUUCUAUAAUCUGAGUUCUAGACAUUAUGCUCUUACCGGCAUGGAUAAGCAAAGAGAAAUAAGACAAUCUUUCAAGCUCACAGUCUAGGAAAUUCUCAAUAAUCCAGGUUUAUCUUUACAUGUUUUAUCCUUUUAGAAUAAUCAUUAACUUUCAAUUUAAAUAAAAAUUAAUUACAAAAUUACUCUGUAGUUUAU